AAAACUCAUAGCACUCACCUUUGAAAAUGGGAAUUGCUGGUUGAGACACACUCACCAUACUGCCGUUGGUUGUUGCCAUUAUUCGCCCAGUUCAGAAGGAACCUGGCUGCUCUGAUACCAAAAAUUGUUGGACAAAAAACAAGGCAAAACAAUAGCAAGGAAAAAAUAGAGCUCUUUAACUCUAAAAAACAGAGCUUCACCAGACCAAAGAAAAUGCUUCUGGAUAUUUUAUUGCAGUCAUUAAUUCCACUACAGCAAACAUGUCUAUUUAUAAAAAAACAAAGAGGACACAAUCUGCCCCACUACACCACUAAUACUUGACCCAC
rnacentral:lncRNA from 1 species